GACGAACGCUGGCGGCGUGCUUAACACAUGCAAGUCGAACGGAAAGGCCCUGCUUUUGUGGGGUGCUCGAGUGGCGAACGGGUGAGUAACACGUGAGUAACCUGCCCUUGACUUUGGGAUAACUUCAGGAAACUGGGGCUAAUACCGGAUAGGAGCUCCUGCUGCAUGGUGGGGGUUGGAAAGUUUCGGCGGUUGGGGAUGGACUCGCGGCUUAUCAGCUUGUUGGUGGGGUAGUGGCUUACCAAGGCUUUGACGGGUAGCCGGCCUGAGAGGGUGACCGGCCACAUUGGGACUGAGAUGCGGCCCAGACUCCUACGGGAGGCAGCAGUGGGGAAUAGUGCACUAUGGGCGGAAGCCUGAUGCAGCAACGCCGCGUGCGGGAUGACGGCCUUCGGGUUGUAAACCGCUUUCGCCUGUGACGAAGCGUGAGUGACGGUAAUGGGUAAAGAAGCACCGGCUAACUACGUG
rnacentral:rRNA from 1 species